UACGGAGGGUGCAAGCGUUAAUCGGAAUUACUGGGCGUAAAGCGCACGCAGGCGGUUUGUUAAGUCAGAUGUGAAUCCCCGGGCUCAACCUGGGAACUGCAUCUGAUACUGGCAAGCUUGAGUCUCGUAGAGGGGGGUAGAAUUCCAGGUGUAGCGGUGAAAUGCGUAGAGAUCUGGAGGAAUACCGGUGGCGAAGGCGGCCCCCUGGACGAAGACUGACGCUCAGGUGCGAAAGCGUGGGGAGCAAACAGGAUUAGA
rnacentral:rRNA from 1 species